rnacentral:rRNA from 1 species
GGGCCCCUAGCUAAAAGCUUGGGAAUCGACGAGCUCCGGUGGAGAGUGGAGCUUGCAUCGAGAUUUACAUUUGAGUGAGUGGCGGACUGGUGAGUAACACGUGGGAAUCUUGCCCAGAAGCGGGGGAUAACACCUGGAAACAGAUGCUAAUACCGCAUAACAACUUGUACCGCAGGGUCUUAGUUUGAAAGAGGGCUUCGGCUAUCAUUUUUGGAGGGCCCCGCGGCGUAUUAGCUAGAUGGGGGGGUAACGGCUCACCAUGGCAAUGAUACUUACCCAACCUGAGAGGGUAAUCGGCCACAUGGGGACGGAAACACGGCCCAAACUCCUACGGGAGGCAGCAGUAGGGAAUCUUCCACAUGGGACGAAAGUCUGAUGGAGCAACGCCGCGUGAGUGAAGAAGGGUUUCGGCUCGUAAAACUCUGUUGUUAAAGAAGAACAUAUCUGAGAGUAACUGUUCAGGUAUUGACGGUAUUUACCCAAAAAGCCACGGGCUAACUACGUGCCAGCAGCCGCGGUAAUACGUAGGUGGCAAGCGUUGUCCGGAUUUAAUUGGGGCGUAAAGCGAGCGCAGGCGGUUUUUUAAGUCUGAUGUGAAAGCCUUCGGCUCAACCGAAGAAGUGCAUCGGAAACUGGGAAACUUGAGUGCAGAAGAGGACAGUGGAACUCCAUGUGUAGCGGUGAAAUGCGUAGAUAUAUGGAAGAACACCAGUGGCGAAGGCGGCUGUCUGGUCUGUAACUGACGCUGAGGCUCGAAAGUAUGGGUAGCAAACAGGAUUAGAUACCCUGGGUAGUCCAUACCGUAAACGAUGAAUGCUAAGUGUUGGAGGGUUUCCGCCCUUCAGUGCUGCAGCUAACGCAUUAAGCAUUCCCGCCUGGGGAAGUACGGCCGCAAGGCUGAAACUCAAAGGAAUUGACGGGGGCCCGCACAAGCGGUGGAGCAUGUGGUUUAAUUCGAAGCUACGCGAAGAACCUUACCAGGUCUUGACAUCCUCUU